rnacentral:misc_RNA from 1 species
UCCGGUCUGUCACCGGCAGUCUCCUUAGAGUCCCCGGCAUUAUCCGCUGGCAACAUGGAACAGGGGUUGCGCUCGUUGCGCCACUUAAGGCAACACCUCACGGCACGAGCUGACGACAGCCAUGCAGCACCUGUGCAGGCUCCCGAAGGAGGACCGGCUUUCACCGGCUUCACCCUGCAUGUCAAGUCCAGGUAAGGUUCUUCGCGUUGCGUCGAAUUAAGCCACAUGCUCCGCCGCUUGUGCGGGCCCCCGUCAAUUCCUUUGAGUUACAGCCUUGCGGCCGUACUCCCCAGGCGGGGCACUUAAUGCGUUAGCUUCGACACCGAAGGGGUCGUUCCCCCCGGCAUCUAGUGCCCAUCGUUUACGGCGUGGACUAC